GACGAACGCUGGCGGCGUGCUUAACACAUGCCAGUCGAACGGAAAGGCCCUGCUUGCAGGGUACUCGAGUGGCGAACGGGUGAGUAACACGUGGGUUAUCUGCCCUGCACUUCGGGAUAAGCCUGGGAAACUGGGUCUAAUACCGGAUAGGAGCCAUUUUUAGUGUGAUGGUUGGAAAGUUUUUUCGGUGUAGGAUGAGCUCGCGGCCUAUCAGCUUGUUGGUGGGGUAAUGGCCUACCAAGGCGGCGACGGGUAGCCGGCCUGAGAGGGUGGACAGCCACAUUGGGACUGAGAUACGGCCCAGACUCCUACGGGAGGCAGCAGUGGGGAAUAUUGCACAAUGGGCGCAAGCCUGAUGCAGCGACGCCGCGUGGGGGAUGACGGCCUUCGGGUUGUAAACUCCUUUCGCUAGGGACGAAGCUUUUUGUGACGGUACCUAGAUAAGAAGCACCGGCUAACUACGUG
rnacentral:rRNA from 1 species